rnacentral:tRNA from 1 species
GGGGUUAUGGCUCAGUGGUAGAGCACUCGCCUGGUACGUAUGAGACCCUGGGUUCGAUCCUCAGUACCA